UUACGGUCAUUUCACAUUGAAACACCAGUUCUUAUCUGAUCACCAAAAUUCAGUAAUGUCAAGCCUGGUCAGUACUUAGAUGGGUGACCGUUUGGGCAUACCAUGUGCUGUAAG